UCGGGAAUUUUGCGCAAUGGAGGAAACUCUGACGCAGUGACGCCGCGUAUAGGAAGAAGGUUUUCGGAUUGUAAACUAUUUUAGUCAGGGAAGAAAAAUGACAGUACCUGAAGAAUAAGCUCCGGCUAACUACGUGCCAGCAGCCGCGGUAAUACGUAGGGAGCAAGCGUUAUCCGGAUUUAUUGGGUGUAAAGGGUGCGUAGACGGGAAGACAAGUUGGUUGUGAAAGCCCUCGGCUCAACUGAGGAACUGCAACCAAAACUAUCAUUCUUGAGUGCGGGAGAGGAAAGUGGAAUUCCUAGUGUAGCGGUGAAAUGCGUAGAUAUUAGGAGGAACACCAGUGGCGAAGGCGACUUUCUGGACCGUAACUGACGUUGAGGCACGAAAGUGUGGGGAGCAAACAGG
rnacentral:rRNA from 1 species